rnacentral:rRNA from 1 species
AUAUUGCACAAUGGGCGCAAGCCUGAUGCAGCCAUGCCGCGUGUAUGAAGAAGGCCUUCGGGUUGUAAAGUACUUUCAGCGGGGAGGAAGGCGACAAGGUUAAUAACCUUGGCGAUUGACGUUACCCGCAGAAGAAGCACCGGCUAACUCCGUGCCAGCAGCCGCGGUAAUACGGAGGGUGCAAGCGUUAAUCGGAAUUACUGGGCGUAAAGCGCACGCAGGC